AUUACCGCGGCUGCUGGCACGUAGUUAGCCGGUGCUUCUUCUGCGGGUACCGUCAUCCAGCCAGACUAUUCGCCUGACCGAUUUCUUCCCCGCCGAAAGGGCUUUACAACCCGAAGGCCUUCUUCACCCACGCGGCAUUGCUGGAUCAGGCUUGCGCCCAUUGUCCAAGAUUCCCCACUGCUGCCUCCCGUAGG
rnacentral:rRNA from 1 species